AACGCACAUUGCGCUUCCUGGUAUUCCGGGGAGCAUGCCCGUUUCAGCACCAGCAAAAACCCUCAAAGCGAACGGGGGGAUUUCCUUUUCGGAAGCCCCCUCUUUGUUUUGGUUUUGGUUCGUCUUUUUGUUUGAAAAAGCGGAAAAGACGAGGCCUUGAAUUCAUCGAGUGUGCCGUCCUUGAUGUGACCCAAAAAGUGCAACAGAAAUGUUAAAUCUCGCUUUCGGGAAUCAUCUGCAAAAUGGAUGGUGCGUUCCCCCCAUUUUCUUGACAAAUUGGUUCGUCUCGAAACAAUUUUCAAAAACACUUGGUCUGAAAUCGGGCAAGAAAACCCGCUGAACUUAA
rnacentral:misc_RNA from 1 species